rnacentral:lncRNA from 1 species
CCUUCUCCAGCGGGCUCUCCUUCCAGCUUCCUCCCGGGCUGCAAUUCCUCUGCCUAGGUGCCUCCGUCCAGCUCCGGCUUCUGGCCCGGAGGCUGCUCAUCUGCCCCUACCCCCGCUGACUUUUGGGAGGAGCAACACCUUUCAGGUCAGCAUUGCUAACCCUAAACUUUCCCCGCCGGAUGCCCGCGAGGCUGCUGCGGCGGCGGCUGCUGCUGAUGGGAGAGUCUCGAGUCCGGCUUUCAUCACAUCACCUGUCUGCGCCCCUUCCCCCUCCCCGCUCUUUUUUUCUUUUCUUUUUAUUUUGACGCAAAUAAUUUGCAUUCUGAGAAUCCCACAAUCAACGCCGAAACUCAUGCUCAAGGAUACAGGGAGCAAAGUCUGCCACAUCAGUCGAUGAGUACUUCCUGCACGAGGACAUGAAGCUCCAUUGUGUGGAAAGCUGUUUCGCGAACGGUCGGUAAAAUCCAGAAAGAGGGAGAAGGAGUGAGUAAGGCAGAAAGCCCAGCCCAGAAAACCGGCGUCUGGGGAUUUCAGCCUCCGCUCCCCGGUCCCCAGCCCGGUGGCUCUGUGAGAAGAAGCUCAACUCGGUGCACUUGUUCACUCUUUCUUCAUGAGAGGAGGAGUCAGUGUUGCAACAUUUAUGUUCCUUGCUGGAGGCAAAACAGUGAUUUUCUUCAGCAUGCAAAACGUCCAGAGCCUGCCAGUUUUAGAAGGCGACGGAGGUAGUUGGGGGAGCUGGAAUCCUGCGAAGACCUGAAGAAACAACUGAUUCCCCCCAGAUCGGUUUUGCAUGAUUAGGGCCACAUAUCUUUCAUUGAGACUGUACCAGAAAAUAGACAGACAAAACAAUAAUAAAAAUGACUUAGUGAGUUGAAUGACCUCAAAGAUGAUAUUUUUCCAGGCAGCCAAGAUGUGGAGUGUCUCCGUGUCAAAUUUCUUUCCUUAUUUCUGAGUAACAUUGAACAGCAGCUAUAUUUGAGAGGUUCUCCAGGGAUUUGAAUUGCACCUUGCCUGAGGAGUCAGAUAGAAAGGAGCAAAAGAAGAUAGUCAGUGACCUAAGAAGGUUUUGCUUUUUUUUUUUUUUAAUACCCAAAGCGCAAACUUCUAGUGUGCUGUGUUUAUUCUCUGCCAUAUGAAUAUAAUAAACAUUGGCGGUGCCUAAAUAGCCCCACUUCUGUUGUUUUCCACAAAUAAAGAAUUUAUCUUUUCUAAUGGGCUGCAUGUUGUUCUGACUUUUCUUCUUCUUGAAACCACACAC